UCUCUCUUUCUUUCUUUCUCUCUUUCUUUCUCUCUCUCUCCCUCUCUUUUGGUGUGCGGGUUCAGCAGAGUGCAGACUUGCUGCUCCACUUCAUGCCCAGCUGCUACGUUCCUGUCUCAGAGACAUGGAGAACUCCAACUUGUAAUUGUCUGCUUCAUUUCCCCCCUUCCACAACGUGGUAGAGAGGGAGCAAGUGAGAGAGAGAGAGAGAGUGGGGCAUCUCCACCCGUUCCACAGUGCAGCACAUUUGGGGGGAUAUUAUGUAAAGGAAAUGGAGAGCAUAGCUAAGGCGUGAGUCAUGCUGUUUACUGGUAAGAAGGACAAGCGGCAGGGAAUCACACCCUCCUGAACUGACGUUUCCUGGAAAAUCCCACUGUUUCGCGGGGCGGAAGGAAAAGUACGGCAAACCUUGGGAAUGGCUGGCGUGACCACCGGAACAUAUUUUUAUCGAAAAAAAAAAAGUGGGAGGCGGAGAUGUAGAUAGCUGCGCAAAGCUACUUUCCAACUAGGGACGUAGGGAUUCAAAGGAAUGUAAAGUAUGCCGAAAACAAAGACAAACCCAUCCAGUGUGUACAAUAGGGAGACUAUCCCCCACUGGUUAAUGAACCUGCGGGGUCUUGAGUAAAACGCUCCAAAUAAACUUUUAAGUGUUCAAAACUUACAAAGUUAAACCCAAUAUAGCAAACUGAAGCUACAAUCAAAUGUAAUAAAGCAGGUUUACUAUAACAAACUCAAAUGAGCUUGAGUUUACUCCUAUAUCCCACUAAUGCCACGGUUACUACAAUCAAACUGAAGCGACACUAAAUAAACUAAUAAAAUGGACCAAUGGUGAUAAAAGCUGGUGAGACUGACUUCAUGUCUAUACUCAACUGAUGCUGGGAUGCCACAGUGUGGGUGUUAGGCUACGUACACACUUCUUCAAGUGAAAACUGGCAUGAGCGCGGCUGUUGUCGUGCCUAGUGCAUGUCUAAGCACAAAAAUCACCCAAACAGACUCCUUCCCCAGACAGUUCUUCCACACCCCUGACCACAGUUUGGCGAGGUCAUCGUACUCAAAUCCAGGAAUUGGUAAAGUGCAGCAGGAAAGGGCUGGGUACUUCUCGUAGUGUGUAAUGGAUGCACAUGGGGCUCCUACUUAAAGUGAGGCUGGCUAAUGCCGACCACAGUAGUGCUACAGUCUCGGUAAUCUAUUUGGGAAUAUUACAGUGUUGUACAGAGGGGGGUUCUGUCCACAAGCUUGUUUUCCAAUUGCAGACUCUAUAAAAGAAUUAUAGACUUCACUCUCAAUUCACAGCCUUCAGCACUACUUUGUCGCAACCUAGCUCCUGGUAUUCCAAAGACAAUGUUGAGAAUUGUUGUACUAUUUCAUAUUUCCCUUCCUAAUGUCUGAAUGAUUAAAAUAUGUCAAUAGGCCUACUAUUUUAUCCGUAAAGCAGUUAGGAUAAAAUUCAAUAUCAUGCCUCAAUCUGAAAGUCUUCUACUACUGGAAUGGAAUUUCCCCCUGACUUUCACUUUGAGUCAUGAACUUGCCAGCCACCCCCGAAUCAUUCACUUUCAAAACUCACUCUCUAAAACCACAAGCUGCGCUGUCAGUGCAACUGCACCGCUAUCCCAAAUUUGCAGAUCUAACCUCAAUCUUUACAAAGCUGACAUCUUUGAGGUGUCGUGUUAUUGUGGUUAAAGCCCUCCCUGUCGUAUCAUUCUUGGUGUUGCGCUGCACACUACAAGCUCAAGAGCAGCUUGCUCCAGCUCAAAAAACCCAAGUCUGUUGCGAGCGAGAGUCCAACAACAACAACAACAACAACAAAACUGCUCUCCCAGACUGGGGUAAGCCUAGACGAUGGAUCCACCUCCGCCAGCCCUCAGCAGUCUGCGUCCCACGUGUGAGUCUCAUGACAAAGCAGUGCAAGCGCUUCACUGCCUACCCCCCCCUCCUCCCCCUCCCCCUCCUCCCCCUCCAUGUUUCUAAUUGGGGCUAGGAGUGAACGCACAAGACGCAAGGUGUAGGAGUUCACCACCAGCACAGAUACCUCAUCCAUGGUGGUGAGUCACCCUUGCUGCUGCUGCCCCUUCAGAUGAAGUUUCACAAGCCCCUGUACAGUAAGUACACUUGUGAAAAAAAUUCAAAAUAAGCUGUUUGAAGGCCUCCUCCAGGAUUUUCCACAUAAUUCAAGCAGAAGGCAAAGGUCAAGUACAUACAAGAUCGCCCCUGACCCAAACACUAAAGCAGUCAGCAGAAAAACACAAAAAUAUAUCAAAUCGCAGUGCAGCUCUCAUCUCCUCAGAGAGAGAGAGAGAGAGAGGGAGGGGGAAAGAGAGGGAAAGAGAGAGAAGCCAGGGGCUCAAAGACGAAUGUCAGCCCCAGCAACAGGCUUUUUCCAGGUUUGCCAUCUCAGAUUCGCUGCCAUGCCAGCACAGCAAGCGGCUAGGGUUUCACGGGUCUUAAGCUCACAGAGGGAGACGAAUUUCCUAAUAUGCCUUGUGCAGACUUUGAGAGGAAUACUCUACAUGGUCGCCGACUAGUCCAGACCAUCCUCUGGCCAUUUUGUAUAAAAGCACAGCCACAUUAUCUAAAUGUCAUAAUGGUGUCUAAUUAUGGAUCCGCAGGGUCCCUGGAGAGGCAUAUUAUCAGAAAAGGUUUACCCUCAUCUGCACCCAUACAAGGCAAAAUGGAAUCUCUAAUAGCUAUGUAAUCUUCAUGUUGUUAUGUAAUGCAGCCUAAAUUCACAAAAGGGAAUGAAUGCUCUGCAAUUUUGUCCCAACCUGAUAUUGAAUGGCUAUUGGUUACACAGUUGCAAGAAUACGUAAUGCAUAAUAUUGCAUUUAAAUCAUAUUUAUAUAGCUAAUCAAAAUCUGGUUUAAGGAACUAUUAUAACACACAAACAGCAGCCAUUUCUCAUCUUUAUGGAAUAUAAUCAGUCAAUCAUGGAGAAACUAUAUGAACUUUUAGAUGCAGUAACAAGCAUUUUCUAUAGCUGCUGAUAAGACUUUGAAUGAAUUAUGGGAUGAUGUGUGUAAAUGUCUCUCUUUGGACCAUGCCAGCAAAAGUUCAAUAUCCAACGGUUCACAGUUUUUUCCAACAUGGACUGUGAAUGUUUAAACAAAGUAUUCCACACAGCUGUGGGAAUCACAACUGUCUCUGUGUGUGUAUUAAUAUGCUAUUAGUUACUUUCUCUAUUUAAAUUGACAAAGCCUAGCUCAUUUAAAUGUACUGCAAGAAUCCAGGUAAAUCCAAAGGACCCAGAAACUUUUUCUUGCAACUGUACAUGAGCCCAUGACAGGCGUUUUAUCAUCCACAGUGGAAAUGAAUCACAUUACCCAGUUAUGACUCACCUUUCCUAUGAGGGCGUAACACAGCAAUAGGACAAAUACUACUUAGCCAGGCCAAACUGGACUAAACUAUGUAGUGUUUGAACAAUGGCCACAUAUUGCUUUACUAUGAUAAUUACUUGACUGAACAUCACACAGGCAUGGCUUAUAAUUUCCUUCACGCUACAACCGACAUGGUGGGAUGGGGAGGGUGGGGGAUUGGGAUGUCUGCAAGGAAGUUCAUUGGUGGUAGCGUAUAGUCGGCUUCCCUUUUGUAAACUUAAAACCUAACGCAUCAAUCAUUAUGAGGAAGGAGUGGGGUUGUCUAUCCUUUCCGUGGCUAUGCCGUGUAUUUUCGGUGGCAAAACUGCAUUCUUAAUCGAAAAAAAUACUCAUACAACGUCACAUUCCAUUGCUAGUCACAUACGUUCUCAUUCCCAGCGCAGAAAUCUCUACAUUCCGCGCCUUUCAGGAUGUUUGGGCUGCCUGGGUGGUUGACAUAACGUCACUUCUCUAAUGUUAGUUGAGUUAUCUUGAUGCAGAUAGGAUGUAAAACAAGACCUACAAUGUAGAAAAAGUAACUUACACGUGAUCUCCCGCACACGGUUUUACACGAUAAAGAUUUAUUUAUGUAUUUAUUAUUUAUUUUUUUGCUGAGCAGACAAUCUGCGUAUUCUUCCUGGUGGUCUACUCAAACAUCGUGCCCUUUGUCCCAGAAUUCUAAAAUGCAGACCACGUGUUGUUUCCUAAUGUCGUAAUAUUAAAAGACGGGCAGUACAUAACAGAGUAAAGAGCGUUCGAGUUGGAAUUAAAAUGUAAAAUGAUAUAAAAGGGCAUUUCAGACAUUCUACAUCUGUCAGUUGCUCCCAGCUUCUAAUUAAAUGCGAGCGUGCGCUAGUAGACUUGUCUAAUAAUAAACUCAAAACGCGCAUUUGUAUUCUAGCUAAAGCCAACCGCGUAGCAGUUAACUUAUUUUAUUUUCUGUCACAGAGGAAUUUUCGACGGACAAGAUUUCGCAGAGAAACUUGUUUGUGUCACCGAGCUUGCCAGUACUCAACACGUGUCCAUCGUUUCUUGUUAUUCGUAGCCUAUUUAUUUAUUAAAAAUAUGUGCUGUCGUAAACAGUUUUAGUCGUUUCCCUGACGUUACAAGACAUUGUUCGGAGGUCUCAGUGAACUGGGAAAAAUAUACGGUAUGUUUAUCAUAGCCUAUCUAUUUCACCAUCUACAUGCGCAGAUCCGUCAUCAUGAGAAAACAUCAGCAAUUUCGAUAGGAAUUUCAAAACAUCUCUGAAAAUGCUCGUACACCUUACCUUGUGAACGCAAAUUUUCUGUCGGGAAUGCGCAAAUGUUCAGAAGUAUCCUUUAGUAACAGGUUGCUGUGUGUUGUGGCAGUCGGGAAAAGUGUGCCUCAAUCGAACCGAAAUGUAUCCCUGUACUAAAUUAACUACAAAACAACAACAAUGUAUCAACAUUCCACUCUCUGCUUCCGCAAGCACUCACGUCACCAAUUCCUCGUGACCGCCCCCUCCAUUCAUGAAAAUAACUUUCUGCUGACGUCAGCCAGGCGGGAAACUAGAGGAGACCAGAAAUAGACGCAACUGAAUACUUUUGAAGA
ensembl:lncRNA